UACGAAGGGUGCAAGCGUUAAUCGGAAUUACUGGGCGUAAAGCGUGCGUAGGCGGUGACUUAAGUCUGUUGUGAAAUCCCCGGGCUCAACCUCGAGACGUCGGCGGAAACCAUCUGGCUAGAGUCCGGAAGAGGAGAGUGGAAUUCCUGGUGUAGCGGCGAAAUGCGCAGAUAUCAGGAAGAACACCCGUGGCGAAGGCGGCUCUCUGGGACGGUACUGACGCUGAGACGCGAAAGCGUGGGGAGCGAACAGG
rnacentral:rRNA from 1 species